CAAGCAGGAGGCAGUGCUCUCUCAGUCUUUAAACGUGCGCAGCUGAGCUUUGUAGAUUGUAAAGUGUUUCAGACCCAUACAGGCUAAGCAGCGACUCUGAGGGAUCCUUAUCUGGUCUAUCAGUGACUCUAGGCAGCAGGUAGAGGAAGAAGCUAUUUCCUCAUGGACCCUAACACUACCAGCGCGGGCAGCGUGCAGUAUGACCGCUGGAACGAGGACAACAUCAACAUGGACGUAAAGGCAUCAUCACAGACUACUUCACAGAGGAUCUACAGCAGUGUGUGUAACGGCAGCUCUGGAGUAGCAGUGAAGACGGCCGGAGCUUUGGCUGCAUUGGUGUCCAUCUACAUUAUAGGAUACGUAACGGGAUACUACGUCCAUAGGUGCUGAUGGUGGAUCAUUAUGAUUUUGGAUAAACUUUUUUGAAUAAAAGUCCCAAAGGUUUAUGUAAGUCAUCAGAGCAGAAGUCUUUGUGUUGCUUUUUCAUCACUUCACUUGCAUCAUGUUAACCCUGACUUGCUUUAUGGUCAUGUUUUUGGCUUUAGGACAACUAGUUUCAACAUUAUUUUUGUUUUAUUAGAGGGAUAACUGCUUCAUGGUAAUUGCUUAUCGUUGUUGCUGGUUUAGCAUCAAAAGUCCUUACAGUUCUGAGGAUUUCCAAGCCACUCCUUUCCUUUUCCAAAUCUAAAAUUCAUUUUGGUUACCAGUUUCUAGAAUGGUCUAAUGAUCCGGCCAAAAGACAAGACAUCUGUGGUAUUGAACUCCCAGUGUCUUUAAAUUAUUUUCAGGAAAAAGGUAAUCUUCUGCACAGGUGAUGAUACGUUUUUUAAGAACUGUGUAGUUUAAUUGAGCAGCUAUAACCAAUGCAGGUGAAUCAACGACUAAAUCCCAGACUUUAUUUAGAUAAAAUGUGGAGCUUUAUAAAUAAUAUUGUUACAACAAAAAAGAACUAAACUAUUGAUUGGACAUUUUUUAAAUGGAUUUGCUCUCAAAUGCAAACUAACUUCUGGAUUUCCA